rnacentral:rRNA from 1 species
GACGAACGCUGGCGGCGUGCCUAAUACAUGCAAGUAGAACGCAGUUGCGAACGGGUGAGUAACGCGUAUGUAACUGCCUCAUAGCGGGGGAUAACUAUUGGAGACGAUAGCUCAUACCGCAUCCUGUGAGAUGGACAUGCGUUGUAUUAGCUAGUUGGGGAGGUAAAGGCUCACCAAGGGGACGAUACAUAGCCGACCUGAGAGGGUGGUCGGGCACACCGGGACUGGGACACGGCCCAGACUCCUACGGGAGGGAGCCGUAGGGAAUUUUCGGCAAUGGACGGAAGUCUGAACGAGCAAAGCCGCGUGAGUGAAGGAGGUUGUCGGAUCGUAAAGCUCCGUUGUUAGAGAAGCGGUACCUACCCAGAAAGCGACGGCUAACUACGUGCCAGCAGCCGCGGUAAUUC